rnacentral:lncRNA from 1 species
GGCGGCACGGAAAAGCCCCUUGGGAGAAGAAGGGGGGUGAGAACAGCAGUGAGUGCAGCUCUAGCAUUAAAGGAUCUGGUUGUAUGGCAUUUGUCAAAGCCAGCUUGCACCCCAAGUACGCUCAUGACCUGAAAGUGGUUUCCAGUACUAAAUUUGACAUGAGCAAUGCUGAGCAGCAAUUUUACACUUCAGUUGAGGUCAGAAUCAUUCCACAGCACACUGGUCA